rnacentral:rRNA from 1 species
UUGGAGGGCAAGUCUGGUGCCAGCAGCCGCGGUAAUUCCAGCUCCAAUAGCGUAUAUUAAAGUUGUUGCAGUUAAAAAGCUCGUAGUUGAAUUUCGGGAUCAAUAUGCCGGUCAUGCCUUGGUAUGCACUGGUAUCUUUGAUUUCUCCCUUCUGACGAACUUUGAUGUCAUUAAUUUGGUGUCACAGGGAAUCAGGACUGUUACUUUGAAAAAAUUAGAGUGUUUAAAGCAGGCUCACGCUUGAAUACAUUAGCAUGGAAUAAUGAAAUAGGACGUUUGAUUCUAUUUUGUUGGUUUCUAGGAUCGACGUAAUGAUUAAUAGGGAUAGUUGGGGGCAUUAGUAUUCAAUUGUCAGAGGUGAAAUUCUUGGAUUUAUUGAAGACUAACUACUGCGAAAGCAUUUGCCAAGGAUGUUUUCAUUAAUCAAGAACGAAAGUUAGGGGAUCGAAGACGAUCAGAUACCGUCGUAGUCUUAACCAUAAACUAUGCCGACUAGGGAUCGGAUGAUGUUAAUUUUUUAAUGACUCAUUCGGCACCUUACGGGAAAC